UAUUCGGCUGCCACUACCCUCCUAUUUUCCAGGCCUCUGCUUCAGCACUAUCCUGUAUAUGGACAGAAUCUGUGCGGGGGAAAAGAACUGGCGGAAACGAUACAGAACGCCCAACCUCGAGGAAGUUGAUUUAUUAAGAGAGGAAAUGUAAAGUUUUCAGCUACGAUUUUGAGUUAAGGGGGGCGACUACGGGGUCCUACUGCGCAUAUGGUACGUCCAAUAGCUCUGAAAUAUUAGUAUGUUAUUUGUGUAAGGUUCGAUAAACAGAUAUGUGAGUGCAAAGUUUACUGGUGCGGGCUAGUACAGGUGCGUAGUGCGUAAAACAAGCGGAGUGUGGAGUGCAGAUGGUGGGAAGCAGCAGGGGCGACGGCCAGGUGGGUUCUGCCGGCUUCGUGGUGCAGAGUGCUGGGGUCGCUUCGGUGCCGAUGCGUUUUGAAGUCUCGACUCUAUGACCAAAACUCCUUACAUCUCCCUCCCCGGGCGAAGAGAUGAGAGGACGAGGCGGUCUGGACAUCGGCGAUUACGUGUACUCCGACGCGGUGCUGCAGGCGUCGGCAAGGAGAAUCGUACGCCACGGUUGCCAGCUCCAGAGCGAGUGGCUCGGGGUUCGUUGGAAGGUGAAGCCUGUGUCCCCGAAGUCUGUGGCGUCUCUCCGGCAUCGGGAACUUGCUGGUGUCGAUGACGUAGAAAGCGACGGUUCCUCCAGAAUCUCCGCCCGCUGGUAAGUUUUACGUGGUAGUCUCGAUGUUUACCGAUGCCAACCACUGUUCCCGUCCUGUCCCAGCGGUUAGAAGUACGGUCCUGUAUCCGUACAGGUGUGCCGAUGCGAAGCGGUGGUAGCGGCCUCGCGGAGCAGUUGUAGUACCACUCUGCUUUCUCCCUCCUCAGAGACUGCUUGGCGUCGCACUCCUUGUCGGCUGCCUGCCACUCGGGAGCGAAGGCUGGCACUGGGGUGCGGAGAGGGCGGCCAUACAGCACCUGCCAGAGCGAAUCCACAAAGCGUCAGUGGGAUGGGGAGGCGUUAAUAGCGCCGUUUUCUUCCACAUCGGCAUGCUGGAACGCUCCAAAUGGGUAAGCGGAGCUGCAGCCUCAGCUUGAGAGGAGGACAAGGCGUAGCCAGGCCUUACCAACCCACACACAGGUUUUGCUGGCCCUGAGAUUUUUGGCAAGUGGCUCCUUUCAACAUGUCAUUGGAGACACUGCAGGUGUUACACAAGCCAGCAUAAGCCGGGUCUUGGACCGGAUUUGCACCGUCUUGAGUGACAAGUCGGUGCAAGAAAUCAAGAUGCCUCCUACAAAUAUUGAGCGGAGGAGAAUUGCUCGGAAGUUUUUAAGGAUUCAAAACUUCCCAAGGGUUAUUGGAGCCAUUGAUGGCACCCAUGUUGCCAUCAAGGCCCCAUCUGUAGACGAGGCCCUGUAUUUCA